rnacentral:rRNA from 1 species
AUGACCCGCUCCUCGCCGUCGCUGUUCCUCCUCCUCCUGCUGGCCUUGUGGACGGCGCCCUACCUCGCAGCGCGCGCCGGCACCGGCGCCAGCGACCACGGCCUCACCCACAUCCACCUGUACAUGCCGCUGGGCGCCGACGCGACGUUCGGGGCGGUCGGCGUGCUCGACGACGAGCUGCGCGACGGGCCGGACGCGGGGAACUCGUCGCUCGUCGGCCGGUACCAGGGCCUCUUCGUCAGCGCGGGGCUCGUGAGCCCGCCGGGCGCGCAGUCGGCGAUCAACCUCGUCUUCACGGCCGGCGAGCAUCGCGGCAGCACGCUGGCCAUGCUGGGGCCCAUGCUGAGCUUCACGAGCGCCAUCGAGCGCGCCGUGGUGGGCGGCACCGGCGCCUUCAGGAUGGCGCGCGGGUACUGCGUCAUGACGCCCGCCGGCAGCCCCACGCUACGAGGUCGACCUGUUCCUGGACAUGUACCAUGCCUGAUCGAUGUGUGCCUGUUGGGUUUGGAGGUGGACUAA